rnacentral:rRNA from 1 species
GGCCUGGCCGGAUGGUCCGUCUUUGGCGAGUACUGUUCUGUCGUCGGGUCUAUCCUUCUGGUGAGCCGGGAUGCCCUUUAUUGGGUGUGUCGGGGAACCAGGACCAUUACCUUGAAAAAAUUAGAGUGUUUAAAGCGGGCAUUUGCUUGAAUAGAUUAGCAUGGAAUAAUAGAAUAGGACGUUGGUUCUAUUUUGUUGGUUUUAGGACCACCGUA